CCCCCCUCAGGGUCGCCCCUAGAGAGUUUCCAGUACUCUACCAGUCUCGGCUAUGGGAGGGAGAGUCAAGCAGAAGUAUACCCAUUCCAUUCCCAGCUUGGCCAGUGGCUAGCGAACGGAAGACAGUCUGCUACAAGU